UACGUAGGGUCCGAGCGUUGUCCGGAAUUAUUGGGCGUAAAGGGCUCGUAGGCGGUUCGUCGCGUCGGGAGUGAAAACUCGGAGCUCAACUCCGAGCCUGCUUCCGAUACGGGCAGACUAGAGGUAGGCAGGGGAGAGCGGAACUCCUGGUGUAGCGGUGAAAUGCGCAGAUAUCAGGAGGAACACCGGUGGCGAAGGCGGUUCUCUGGGCCGAUACUGACGCUGAGGAGCGAAAGCGUGGGGAGCGAACAGG
rnacentral:rRNA from 1 species